rnacentral:rRNA from 1 species
GUGAGGAAUAUUGGACAAUGGGCGAAAGCCUGAUCCAGCCAUGCCGCGUGUGUGAAGAAGGUCUUCGGAUUGUAAAGCACUUUAAGUUGGGAGGAAGGGCAGUAAGUUAAUACCUUGCUGUUUUGACGUUACCGACAGAAUAAGCACCGGCUAACUUCGUGCCAGCAGCCGCGGUAAUACGAAGGGUGCAAGCGUUAAUCGGAAUUACUGGGCGUAAAGCGCGCGUAGGUGGUUUUGUAAGUUGGAGGUGAAAUCCCCGGGCUCAACCUGGGAACUGCCUGCAAAACUGCAUGACUAGAGUACGGUAGAGGGUAGUGGAAUGUCCUGUGUAGCGGUGAAAUGCGUAGAUAUAGGAAGGAACACCAGUGGCGAAGGCGACUACCUGGACUGAUACUGACACUGAGGUGCGAAAGCGUGGGGAGCAAACAGGAUUAGAUACCCCAGUAGUCC